GGCACCAAAAAGAAAGGGAUCGGGGAUCAGGUGGAUCAUAUCAACAAAUCCUUAGCAUCUACUGUGUGCUAGGCACUAAGCAUGGAUACCAAGAUGACAAAGCUGGUCCACUCCCUCAAGGAGUUUACAGCACAAAAUGGUAAUACAAAUGUUUACAAAUACAUCCCAUACAAGGGAGAAUGAUCAUGAUGUAGGCAAAGAUGAGAUGCAGAGGGAGCCAGGAAGAGCUGAGGAGCCUAAGUUCAACUGAGGAAAGGGAGCACUCAGAAGAUGCUUUUUAAGAGACUCAGUUUGAAAGGGAAAAAAAAUUUCAAUAAGCAGAGAUAACAGGAUAAACUGGGGCUUGUUCAGAAGAUGUGAGCCCAUGGCCUCUGGACCAAGCCAUGUAAGGAUCAGUUGAAGGAAUGGGAAGGCUUAGUUUGCUCGCUUAGUCCUGUGGGAGACACACGAGCAGGCUUGGAGAAGCCCUAGUAGGCAAAAACAGGAGCGGUGGUGGGAAAUUACCAAGGAGAUUCAGGCUAGAGAUCUCCAAAAACUUCCCAGUAUGAAAUGGCUUAUCUCAGGAGCAGGAAUCCAGCCCCUCACUCAAGCAGAGACUAAAUCCAAGGUCACUUUCCACUCUAAUUCUAUGGUCGCACAGCGAAGAAGUGUCGAAGUCAGGAUUCUGACCUCCCAGCUCUCCCCGCUCCAGUUGUCCUCUGCUGCUAAUCUAGGAGAUCAGCUAAGGGCACAAAUGAUGAGGUUGGGGAAGAUUGUUCUGUGCUGGGCCUCAGGCAGCUGGAUUGACUCAGGGCCAGUGAGAAGACCCAGCCAAUAUCCUCUUCCAACAAAAGCUUCCCCUCCAAUCAGAGGCAGUUGCUUCCCUCUGAAUUUUAUAUAUAUUUAUAUUCCCGCACUCCCAGAAGCAGGGGCCUCUCUUGGCUCCUGGACUCUCAAUUUCCUGCAGAUCUUGGAUCCUCAGCAUAUUCUCUUACUCCAGCUGGGAGGCCAAGUCCAAUUUGGGCAAAUGAAGAAAGUGUCAUUUUUAUUCACUCACUCAAAAAAAAUGAACAUUUUUGAUGCAGGACCACACAAAGAGACAGGCACAGAUUGAAAUGGACUUUUUAAAAAAACUUUAUUUUUCUUGAGGGUUUUUUGGAGGGGGAGAUCUAUGUUUUCUUUCACAGCAUGACUUUUAUGGAAAUGUUUUAUACGGUUUCACAUGUGCCUUCUUAGCGGGGUAGGGGGACCGGGAGAAAGGGAGAGGACUCCCAAUGUUGGAACUCAAAGUUUUAAAAACAAUAUAAAAAUUGUUCUACAUGUUACCGGGAAAAAUAAACAUUAAAUCAAUAGAGACAUAGUCGAUAAACUCAGUAUCUAUCCUCAGGAGUCUCCAGGGGGAGGAGUGAUACAAAUGAGAUUUUUUUUUGGGGGGUGCAGAGCUGGUACUUUACUGAUAGAGGAAACUGCCAAUGAGGAGAACCCCUUUAUCAGUGGAAAUUCGCAAAGGCUCUGAAACUUAGAUUGGAGGUUGCCUGGGGUGAUUUUACAUCAACUAAGUUAUGUGAUUACCAAGGGUCAUAUAAUCAGUAAGGGAAUAAGAAGGCAGGUUUCCUAGCCAUACCAAGGGUCAUAUAAUCGGUAAGGGAAUAAGAAGGCAGGUUUCCUAGUCAUAAGGUCAGCUUCCUAUAACCCCCUGCCUUUAAAAAGGAAUAGAGAUCUUAUCAACCACCUUGGACUGGGCUACACUGUGGUCAACGAUGAACAAGGUGAGGGCUAUGUACCCAGAAGUCUUGUGCUCAUGGCUGGGGGAAAGUCGAGGACUGCAGAGCUCCAUGUCCCUAAACACCAGAAUCUCAUCUAUAAAAUGGGGGGAUAAUAUUCUCCCUAUUGUGCUCGGACAGUUCUGUUUAAUUCAACAAACACUGAGUAAGCAAAGCCAGAGGCUUUGGGGAAAGUGACAAGUAACAUCUAGAAUUCAUGAAGCUUGAAGUUUGGGGGCAGGUGGGGCUAAGACACACACACAAACAGGUAACUGUGAGCCACAGCUUCUCUGAGGGAAGGAUGUCAAAGAUCAUGAUGAGGCCCAUAUGGUGUGUGAGAAAUCAUGGUAAGUCUCAACCACGUCCUUGGAGCCUUUUCUGUGGCUUUAAGGAAUCUCUCUGAAUGUCCGCCAUGUCCUUUUGUAUAACCUUGUACCGAGAACAUAAGAACGUGCUUGCAAUUAUCUGAUGAGAUAUACUGGGAGGACAGGAAGAGCCAGUCACUUUUUCUUGUGCUUGAUUUAAGAUCUUCCUUUGAGCCUUGGCUUGUGUUUCACCCUGGAAACCUGGCCAGUUCCCUGAGUGGAACCAGCUGGCUUAAGGGAAUAAAUAAACUAUUCCCCUUGGUGGAAGCCCCCAUAUCUGAGGAGCUUUUCUGUCCAAUGGGUCGUAUAUCAAAUAAUAAACUGGGCGUAGUGCCUUCUUUGUUCUCAGUGUCUAAAAACCCAGUACAGGGAGGGGACCGUUGGAACCUCAUCCAAGGAAGGGAUGGCUUUGCCUGGAAUUUCUCCCUCUUUGGGGUACACUCUGAUUGGCUAGCCAGCGUGAUUUGGGGCUCCCCCAGCCUGAAGAGUCAGUAGUUGAUGUUUUCCAAAUUGGUGAUGAUAUCUCUGUUUGUCUGACUGUCUGACUUUGUUAUUACUGUGAUACUGGCGCCCAUUAAGUUGUAUAUUAUUUUUUCCACUCCGAGACUUUUUACCCUUAUUUCUUGUUUCCAUCAGCAAUAAACUUCAAUCCCCCUUU